rnacentral:rRNA from 1 species
AGAACGAACGCUGGCGGCAUGCCUAACACAUGCAAGUCGAACGCUCUUGGGGCUUCGGUUCCAAGGGAGUGGCGCACGGGUGAGUAGCGCGUGGGAACCUGCCCUGGAGUGGGGGAUAACCGAGGGAAACUUCGGCUAAUACCGCAUACGCCGGGAAACCGGGAAAGAUUUAUCGCUCUAGGAGGGGCCCGCGUCGGAUUAGGUAGUUGGUGGGGUAACGGCUUACCAAGCCUGUGAUCCGUAGCUGGUCUGAGAGGAUGAUCAGCCACACUGGGACUGAGACACGGCCCAGACUCCUACGGGAGGCAGCAGUGGGGAAUAUUGGACAAUGGGCGCAAGCCUGAUCCAGCAAUGCCGCGUGAGUGAUGAAGGCCUUCGGGUUGUAAAGCUCUUUCGCCCGCGACGAUGAUGACGGUAGCGGGAGAAGAAGCCCCGGCUAACUUCGUGCCAGCAGCCGC